UACGUAGGGGGCAAGCGUUGUCCGGAAUCAUUGGGCGUAAAGCGCGCGUAGGCGGCCCGGUAAGUCCGCUCUGAAAGUCCAGGGCUCAACCCUGGAAAGCGGGUGGAUACUGCCGGGCUAGAAUCCGGAAGAGGCGAGUGGAAUUCCCGGUGUAGCGGUGAAAUGCGCAGAUAUCGGGAGGAACACCAAUUGCGAAGGCAGCUCGCUGGGACGUCACUGACGCUGAGACGCGAAAGCGUGGGGAGCGAACAGGA
rnacentral:rRNA from 1 species